UACAGAGGGUGCGAGCGUUGUUCGGAAUCAUUGGGCGUAAAGGGCGUGUAGGCGGUUUGUUAAGUCAUGUGUGAAAUCCCUCGGCUCAACCGGGGAACGACGCAUGAAACUGGCAGGCUAGAGUACUGGAGAGGUUGGUGGAAUUCUCGGUGUAGAGGUGAAAUUCGUAGAUAUCGAGAGGAACACCGGUGGCGAAGGCGGCCAACUGGACAGAUACUGACGCUGAGACACGAAAGCGUGGGGAGCAAACAGG
rnacentral:rRNA from 1 species